AUUCCUCUUCCAAAGACUUGCUGAGCACCUUCUAGGUGCCAGAUGCGGUGCUGGCUCCUGGGGACAUGGGAGUGAACAGGCCAGGCGUGGCCCUGAACCAUCAAAUAGACAACCACAGAAAUAACAACAACAAAGACAAAACCGGGCCCUUCCACACAGUAGCUGGAACACAAAGGAAGAUCAGCCAAGCCUCAACAUAAUCUCAUAAAAAUUCUUCAAAUAUCCCAUUGUUAUGGAUUCAUACAUCAGGAAAGCAGAUGCCAAGAACCUGAACACCUUCUACUGGUAACAUAUAUUUUGGCGAGCCAGCCUGGAGACAAGACCACUAUGGGCAACUUCCUGUCUAUUCUACCUGGUGUCACUGUGGACAACUUCCUAUCUAUUCCACCCGAUUCACCGCUUGGCUACAUCCUCCACCAUUGGGAUGAAUUUGACCCUAACAAUCUAAAGAAAAGGCAUAUGAUUUUUUACUGCAAUAUUGUUUGACACAAUUAUGAGCUGCCCAAUCCGGAACAAUGGGCAGUCAAUGGUAGCCUUAAUUAUGAUACCAUCCUGUAUCUAGACCUAUUUUACAAGAGGCAGGGCAAAUGGUCAGAAGUCCCACAUAUACAGGCCUACAUGACCCUAUACGAAGACCUAAGAAUCUAGGAAACUCCCAGAACCCAUCCCCCGAAGGAAAGUUCUGGGGCAGAACUAGAUAUUAUAGAUGAACCCCCUUUUACAAGGGAUACCUGUCUCUCAGAGUGAGCAGUGACUGUCCCCAUAUAACCCCUCACCAAGUGCUCCUGAGGCUGAAACCCAGGGGCAAACAUGGGGAACCCUACUAAGUCCCCCUCACACUUGGAGGGGAACACUGUAUUCAACUCUCUAUCCAGCCCUGCUACUCUCAGAGAAAUAGCAGGGGCUGAGGGGCCAAUCCUAGUGUGGGUCCCCUUCUCUAUGAUUGAUAUACAACAAUGUAAGGAAAAGCUAGGAAGCUAUUCUGAGGAUUCCGGGAAGUUUGCAGAUGGGUUCCAAACUUUGACCUUAGCCUUUGAUCUCUCAUGGAGAGACGUUCAAUUCACUCUAGCAACCUGUUGCACCUCCUCGGAAAAGGAACGAAUCUUUGAGGCUGCCCUCCGAGAAGUGGACGAAUUAUUCACCCAAAACCGUAAAGGCAGUCACCCAGGCCCAGCCACAGUUCCCACUACGCAUCCUAAUUGAGACCAAGACACCCCCGCAGGAAGGAACAACUGGGCUAAAUUUCUUGAGGCUCUUGGAGGAAUGAGAAAGGGAAUAACUAAGGCAGUAAAUUAUGAUAAAGUAAGGCAGAUUACACAAGGCAGGGAGGAAAACCCAGCUGUGUUUUACGGCAGGCUGCGGGAAGCCUUUAAAAAAUAUAUACUAAUUUGGUCCCUUCCUCUCCUGAAGGCAAGUUAUUAAUGGCACAACGUUUCAUUAGCCAAUCCACACCAGACAUUAGACGUAAGCUCCAAAAGCUACACAUGGGGCCACAAACUAACCAAAAUCAGCUUCUUGGUACUGCCUUCAUGGUGUAUAACAAUCGUGACCUGGAGGAAGGAGAAGGGAAACAGAGUAAAGAAAAACGGCAAGCCAAAAUUAUGUUAGCCAUCACUGGUGAUGCCCUAAAUGCACAAAGAUUGUCCAAGGGAAACUCAAAGGGCCAUAAGGAUAAUGCCAGCAAAGGCUCUUGCUUCAAAUGCAAUAAAAGUGCGAUUGGGCACAGGAAUCCACUAAGCCCCCGCCAGUCCCCUGCCGUCAAUGUAAAAGCACCAGUUGUGGCUCCUGGCCCUGGAGAAUUGACUGUCCCUGCUCCCACCAAGGGGCUCAGUCAGUCAAAACUCUGGCAGUGCACAAGGAGGAAUCAGAUGAAGACUGAAGGGGCCUGGGGCCUUCCUCACUGCCCCGUCUAGGAACAUUGUAAUUACUACUGAGGAACCCUGGGUAACUCUGGACAUCAUGGCCACCCAAAUUCAGUUUUUAUGUGAUACCAAGGUGAAUUAUUCUGUACAACUGCUUAUGCAGGAAAACUUUCCUCCCGGUCCAUGAGUGAUAUUGGAUGGAAGGGAAGCCACAAACAAGAUUCUUACUCCUCCUUUGGUUUGUCAAUUUGAGAAACAAAUCUUCCAACAGGAAUUUUUAGUAGUACCAAGCUGCCCAAUUCCCCUGUGGGAAAGAGAUAUUAUGGUGAAAAUAGUGACACUACUGCAAUUUAAGCAAUAUUAGCAGGUGAAACUGCUAAUAGUAAGAAAUAAGGCAAUGUCCCAGACCAUGUCAAUAAACAGGUUAACCCACUGGCAUGGUAUACUGGAAACCCAGGGAAGGCUAAAACAGCAGUGCCAGUCAAAAUACAGCUUAAAGACCCCAGCCAUUUUCCCAAUGGAAAACAAUACCCAGUUGAACAGGAAGCAAGCAAAGGUCUAGCUCCCAUAGUUGAGAUAUUACUUACCCAUGGACUCUUAAAACCCUGCAAUUCUCCCUGCAAUACCCCCAUCUUACCUGUUCUCAAGCCUGGGGGGAAUACCAGCUAGUACAGAACCUCAGAAUAAUGAAUGAGGCUGUUAUCCCCGUCCACCCAUUGGUGGCAGAUCCAUAUGCCCUCCUGGCUCAGGUGCCAGGGCAUGCAAAAUGGUUCUCAGUCCUAGACCUUUCUUCUCCAUUCCUCUGGCCCCGAGCCCCCCAGUACCUUUUUGCUUUCGAAUGGGAAAAUCCUAAUACCAGAUAAAAACAAUACACUUGGACAGUGCUUCCUCAGGGCUUUCGGGAUAGCCCCCACUUCUUUGCCUGAGCAUUAGAGCGGGAUCUGAGGGAUUUCAAGUUAGAAAAUGGAGGUAUUCUUCAGUAUGGGGAUGACCUUGUGUGUAGCCCAACCUAGGAGGUUUCUGACCAAAAUACUAUAAAAACUUUGAAUUUCCUGGCAGACAGAGGAUACAAAGUGUCCAAAAAGAAGGCUCAGAUUACCCUCCAAUGGGUCCACUAUUUAGGAUAUGUCUUAACACCCGGAACCCGGCAAAUAUCCCCAGAAGGAGUGCAAGCUAUAUGUGGUUUGGCCGCGUGCACCACCCCCAGCCCCCACCCUGACCCACCUCCAAGCAGCAGCUUUGUUCCUUUUUGGGGAUGGCCGGGCUUUGGAGAAUAUGAGUACCAAAUUUUGGGCUCAUAGCAAAGCCCCUAUAUGAAGCAACAAGGGGGCCUGAAAAUGAGCUAAUGGAAUGGACCCCGGAAAUGAGGAAAGCCUUUGCCAAGUUAAAACAGGUUCUCACCCAGGCUCCUGCUCUUGGUAUCCCAGACCUAAUUAAGGCCUUCUCCUUGUAUGUAGCAGAGAAGAGGGGCAUAGCUGUGGGAGUGCUAGCCCAGAAAUUAGGAUCAGAACCCAGACCAACCGCCUACUUCUCAAAAAAGUUGGACGGAGUGGCCUCAGGAUGGCCAAGUUGCCUGCGGGCAAUAGCAGCCACUGCUGUUAGUGGAGGAAGCCACUAAAAUCACCCUAGGGCAACCACUGGAAGUUCUAACGCUCCAUCAGGUAAAGUUAGUCUUAGAAAUAAAGGGACACAUCUGGAUGACAGGGGAAAUGUUAACUAAAUACCAGCCCAUGCUCCUAGACAAUCCAGAUAUAACUCUUAAAACCUGCAACACUUUAAAUCCAGCUUCAUUGCUGCCCACAGGCCCAAUAAUUGAUCAUUCCUGUGAGCAGGUCAUUGCACAUACAUAUGUUAGCCAGCCUGAUUUAAAAGAUGAGGCUCUCCCAGAUUCUGAAGCUGACCGGCUCACAGACGGCAGUAGUUCUUUGUCGAAUGGGGAGCACAGAGCUGGAUAUGCAGCAGUAAAUCAUGACACAAUUAUUGAAGCCCAGCCAGUGCCCCCUGGCACAUCAGCACAAAAGGCUAAAAUCAUUGAUCUUACUCAAGCAUUAAUGUUGGGACAAGGGAAAAAACUUAACAUCUAUACAGAUUCUAAAUAUGCAUUCCUUGUGGUUCAUGCUCAUACCGCCAUCAGGAAAGAAAGGGGAUUACUUACUAGCAAGCACUCCCCUAUAGAGCAUGGACCUGAAAUUCUGCAGCUAUUGAAGGCAAUACACCUGCCAAAGGCCAUAGCUAUCAUUCAUUGUAGGGGGCAUCAAAGGGACUUAACCCCUAUAGCACAAGGGAAUGGAAAGGCUGACGGAAGCCAAAGCAAAAGCCCUCAGCGUGCAAUCCCAACAGAUCCUAGCACUGCUUCCUUUCUACAAUUCCCCAGUAGAACCCAAAUACACACCACAGGAAGAACAGCUAAUAAAAAAAGCAAGGGAGACAAAAACAAGGAUCCUGGUGGCAUAUGGAGCCAAAAAUAUAUCUCCCUCAGGCAGCCCAGUGGAGAGUUAUAAAAGCCCUGCAUGACUCUUUCCAUGUGGGGAGGGAUGCGGCUCUGGCCAUGGUAAACAAGUUCUUUACUGGGUUUAACUCAGCUUCAAUGGCUAAGCAGGUCUGUCAAGCCUGCUCACUGUGUGCAUUUAACAAUCCAGGCAUCAAAAUGCCCCCUCUAAUAAAACCAGUCCAAAGGAGGGGAACUUAUCCAGGGGAAGACUGGCAGUUAGACGUCAUCCAUAUGCCAGCUUGCAGAGGAUACAAGCUUUUGUUAAUACUAAUAGAUACUUUUAGGUUGGGUCAAAGGUUACCCCAGAAAAGGCUAAUGAGGUUCUAAGGUCCUCUUAAAAGAAAUAAUUCCCCAGUUUGGGUUACCUCAGGGUCUCCAAAGUGAUAAUGGCUAAUCCUUUAUCUCCCAAAUAACUCAAGGGGUUGCUAAGGCUCUUGGAAUAAAAUACUAUUUACAUUCAGCCUGGAGGCCCCAAUCCUCUGGAAAAGUGGAAAGGGUUAACCAAACUCUAAAAUAAGCACUAGCUAAACUAUGUCAGGAAACAUCAGAAACUUGGGUUAGCUUAUUGCUCACAGCCCUUUUAAGAAUUUGUAAUACCCCUAGCUCAAAAAUUAACAGAAGCCCAUAUAAAAUGUUAUACAGAAGGCCAUUCUUAACUAAUGAUUUAAUUAUUGACCCAGAAAGAGUUGGUGUAAUUAAAUACCUAGUCAACCCAGAACAAUUCCAGCGGGUUUACAAGAGUUUGGAAUUCAAAGGCUCCUCACACUUGGAACUAACCAGCAACCCAAAAUCAGGCCAGGAGAUAGGGUACUUGUUAAAACAUGGAAUGAGGGAUCACCUGCCCAACAAUUACAACCCCAAUAGAAGGGACUUUUUUCAGUAAUACUGGCCACGUCUUCUGUGGUCAAAGUACUAGUAUUAGAUAGCUGGAUACAUCUUUCAAGGAUCAAACCAUCAAUACCAGAAGCUCCAGACCAGGAACCUGAAGUUCCCAUCAGCCAGUACACCUGUGAACCAGUGGAGGACCUGAAGUACCUGUUUAAAAGAUAGCCAAAAGAUAAGUAAAUGCCUACCAACUUUCUUUGGUGUCUUUGUUGCAUAGUUACUGUGGGCUGGAAAAUAGUAGCCAUUUUUAUCUUUGCAGUUUAAUUGCCUUCUUCCAAAUAGAUAAAAAUCACUUCCUUUGUAAUAAUUAAACAGAAUUUAAAAAAUACAUUUCUAUGACAAAUAUUCCUGAUGGCAUAAGUAUCCACCCCAAGGUUCCCAUUAAAUCUUUUAACCUAAAGUAUUUCCUCUCACCUAGAGAUCAUCGAGCUGUGUGACAAGGGUGCCAGCCACUCCAGGUGAAGACACCACCCCAGGCCAUCAAGGAUCUUCCCUACCUUCACUAAACAGAGCAGGGUGAAAGUUGUGUGAUCCCCAAUAGGUAGGGACUACACCCCAAGUCAGCAGGAAGCAGUUACAGAAGAAAGACCAUUGGUCCCUCUGCUUCCCAUAAAGAUUUAUGGGGAUCACAGCUUUCACGGGGGAGAUGAGGCAAGAGAAUAGGGCAUGCAGGCAGGGUACUUGAGGCCAAUCCACGCUGACUUCCUAGAACUGAAUUAAAUGAAAGCUCCUCAGCAAUGACAGGAAUGUGAAUGGCUUUGUAACUUCUUCCUCUCCAUUAAUGCUAUUUCCACUUUGUAACUUCACUUUCAUCCUCUCCAUUUACAUAGAUCACACACCAAGUAACAUCCUCUCCAUUUACAGUAGGGCGCAUUCCGAGUCAAUGACUCUGACUGCACUUCGUUCUCCUCAUUUACAUAGAACAUUCGCCAAGUAACCAAUGGGAAACCUCUAGAGUAUUGAAACUCCAGAAAAUUCCGUAAGUGGGGCUCUUGAGCGUCUACACUCGGGUCGCUCCCACACUGUGGCGUGUACUUUUAUUCUCAAUAAAUUCCCGCUUUUGCUUUCCUCGUUCUGUUUGAGUGUUUUGUCCAAUUCUUUGUUUGAGGCGCCAAGAACCUGGACACCUUCUACCAGUGACACUACCAAUUUUUGAUUCCAUUAAAGAUCACAG
rnacentral:lncRNA from 1 species